rnacentral:rRNA from 1 species
AAAUAUUAGUCAAUGCUCGAAAGAGUGAACUAGCUAACUGAAAUCAAUUAUAAAAUUGAUAACAUAAGGGAAAAUAAUGAUAUUACCUUAUUAUUAGUGUCGUCCAAAACUCGGUGCCAGAAGACUCGGUAAGGCCAGAGACAUAAACGUUAAUCGUCUUAAUCAGGCGUAAAGGGUUUGUAGGCGGCUUUUAAUUUUACUUAUUUAAUUUUGUUUUUUGUUAAUUAAAAAUUAUAAGUACAGAAUAAAAGCUAGAAUCAAAUAGAGGAUAUAUCAAAUAAUGCUUAGAGUAGGUCUGAUAUCCUUAGAUACUAAGUAGAAUAUUAAAGGCGAAGGCUUUUUUCCAUUAAUGAUUGACGCUCAGAAACGAAGGUGAGGAUAGGAAAUAGGAUUAGAUACCCAAAAUACCCCUCUCUGUCAACGAUGAAUGGUAGUUAUUAGUAAUAAAUUAAUUAAUGACAAUGUUAACACGAUAACCAUUCCGCCUUGUGAGUACAACUGCAAAGUUGAAAACAAAAAAAUUAGUCGGUUUCGGAGCAAACGAAGUGAAGCAUGUUAUUUAAUUC